rnacentral:lncRNA from 1 species
CUUUUUUUUUUUUUUUUUUUUUUUUUUGUCUUUCUGUCUUUUCUAGGGCUGUACCCGAGGCAUAUGGAAGCUCCCUGGCUAGGGGUCUAAUCAGAACUGUAGCUGCCAGCCGACACCACAACCACAGCAACACCAGAUCUGAGCCACAUUUGCGACCUACACCACAGCUCACGGCAAUGCCAGAUCCUUAACCCACUGAGCAAGGUCAGGGAUCGAACCCGCAACCUCAUGGUUCCUAGUUGGAUUCGUUAACCACUGAGCCACGAUGGGAACUCCUGGGGAUGGGAAUGUUAAGGCCUGAAUUCAAACCUCAGUUUGCAAGUUUCAAAACCAUGGAUAAAUCACUCAUCUCUCUGAGUUAAAACUAGUCUAUCUGUAGAGCAGAGAAAAUAAUGGCUUUGCCCAUAUCAUUGAGAUAUCAUAAAGAUCAAGUAAUCUAGGGUUUGUGAAAAUGUUGCAGAAACUAUAAAAUGACCUAUUAAUAUAAAAGAUCCAUUUUAUGAAAAUGCUUCAGAAACCAUAAAAUGAAAUAUUAAUAUAAAGUAUUUGUUUUGCUAUUAAACCUUAAAAUUUUAUUCCGAUUUUAUAAUCAUAUCUAGGUUUAUUUACCAUAAUCUACUUGCUCAUUGUAAACUCACUUCAAGAUUCAGACAGGGAGUGAUAUAGUAUAAAGGGAAGAACUCAAGGCUAGAAUUAGCUGAACUUGAAUCCCAGUUACAGAACCUAUUGGCCAAGAUCCCCUGGCCAUGUUGCUUCUCUGAAUCUGUUAAUUCAUCCAUAAAGCAUACACAGUAAUACCCAGCUAUGUUAAUGGAUAUCAUGUAGACAAUGCAUGCGGUUCAGGUUCUCACCACUGAGAAUCACUUCCAUUACUACAAAGUUAUAGGAGUCUUUGUUCUCCUCACUAACCGUACUUACUAAUGGCCAUAUGGCUAAAGAACUGUAUCAUAUUCUGCUAGUUUUGUGGCCUCUUUAUUUUGCUUUUCUCAUCCCCUUCCCAAAGCAAAGGAUUUGCAAUUACCAUAGUUAUUAUGAAAUUUUAUUGGAUGAGUGACUAACAAGUUAGUGUUACAGGUUGUGUGUGUGUGUGUGUGUGUGUGUGUGUGUGUGAGUGUGUGUGCGCGCGCUAGCGGUCAUAUCCCACUGAGAUAUCUGAACAGUGAGUCUGGUUUGAAAGGAAAAGCAAGGAGAGGGUCACACAAGGUUGAAGCCAUGUUCUUGUCAAGGUGACGCUUAGCAAGGUUACAGCCUUACUUUUGUAAUUUUGUAUUUUAUAUUUUCUUUUUCUUGAAGUGAGUGUUUUGAAAACAUUGUCCCACCUGGAGAAAUCUGGAAACUGGUAAAAUGAAGGCCUGUCUGAGAAACAAAACACUGCUGCAAAGAAUCUGAUUUAGUAUCAUGACUUUGGUUCAUUUUUAAUAUAGAAUUUCAUGGCUCAUCAAGGGGUAAGCCAGUCUAUCAAAAGAAGUUGUCUUUUUUGUUCAUUUUAGAAAUGUCCCUGCUGUUACUGUGUGGCGUGUGCUUUUGAAAACUCAACACAGUUUAAACAGAAGAGGGCUGAGGCUUUGUUCUCUCUCCCCUCUUCCCGUCUAAGUUCAUUGUCUUUGCCCUACAAGUUCUUCUCACAGUUUUACCAAUUCCUUCCUGCCCAUAUGAACAAAUGUCAUAGCUUAGCAACAAUCAUCAUUUCAUAUUACAUUUAUAGUUCAGCUAAUAUGAUGGAAUGAUCUACAUGCCAGAAUCUCUUAAUUUCUUUUCCUUUCCUUUACACAGCUGCAGACUGGAACCAAAUGCUCAGUCAGAUAUCUUUCUUAUAUAACUAAUGGGAGGUGAGUGUUUUCCUGUUUCUGUUUUCUCUCUCACCCAUAUUUUCUGUCUCCCUCUGUAUUUAUAGAACCAGCUUUAAUUAUAAUUUACCAGUGUGCUGAGGGCACAUCAGUGAGUCUCCAGAUGGUGCAAAGCAACCUGUGAGAGUACAUUGCUUUUCACAUUUGAUCUUGGAAUAGCCAAUAUGUUCCUGGCAAGCACUGACUAAGCAGUUGACCUGUCUAUUUGCCGUUAGUUUCCAUUUACUUGCUUUCUGGUAAUGAAUACUAAUAUUCCAUGAUAUGAUGGGUCCCCUAAUGUAUCUCCCUAUUUUUCCCUUUUAGAUUUUCCUUUACGCUUCAUCCGUGGAUCAGUAGGAGGGAAUCCUUUAAUUUAAUACAUAUAUAUUAAAUUAUACAUUUAUUUCAUUAUUUUAAACGAGCUUUUCCUUCCAGCGUAUCACAGCUUCUGAAAUGAAGGUCUUAAACUUAAUGUCAAAGAGUGCUGGAUAUUUUUUUCUAAAAGCAUUUUUGAGAAUGUGAAAAGUAUAUCUAUAAAUAAAUGAAGAGAAAAGAAAGACGAGGAAGAGAAAGCUAUUAUGUUUUACAUGUUCUUCCAUUUCCUCUGAACAAACUCGUUGCCAGAAUGUUUAAAAUAGUUAUGUAACACCAAUUUGGUUACAACAACCAAGUACUCAUACCAUCAGUAUAGAUUCUGUAUUUCUUUAAUUCCAAAAUAAUGCAAAGCAAGUGCUCCAGAAUGAUCCUAAGAAUUGUAAAUAAGCCAGUGAUGGCAAAGCAUUUGUUAGAAAUGGUAAUUUGUGUGUAUACAUACAGAACACAUAUAUUAUAUGUAUACAUUGUAGGGAACAGUACAUGAUAGAGGAUUCUCAUAGCAUUGUUUUUUCUGGUCUAAAACCAACUAAAUAUAACAAUUAUAAUUUUAUUAUAGAUGAAAAUAUUCUAAGUUUAUAUGAAUUGUCAAAAAUUUGUAUUGGCCUAAAUUGGAACUACAGAAAUGGGAAUACCAGGAAAAUUCUAAAGGAAUUUAAUUUUUUUGUUUUUUGUCUUUUAAGGGCCGCACCUGAGGCAUAUGGAGUGGCCCUAGAAAAGGCAAAAAGACAAAAAGAAUGUUAGGAUGUAUAUGUUCAUAAGUAAGUAAACAUGAAAGUUUUCAUUUUCAAUGUUAUUCUGCAUGUUCAUGGUAAUUCUACUCUACCAUUGCCUCACUUAUUUUUUCACCUGAUGUGCCUCUUGUAUUCAAUACCAUGAAUACGUAUUGGGGGUGGGUGUAGGUCAGAAGAAAAUUAAAGGAAAGUUGAGAACAUUUCAGACAGAGAGCAAAUGAAUGAGGAGAUGAAACAACCUGCCACUUGUGAUUCCCUUGGUUUCUUUGCGGCACAGAAAGAGGGUCGGAAUUGAUAAUAGAUGGGAAACAGAAUGGAGGUGGCUUUCCAUGACAACCUCUGGAACUUGGAUUUUGUCCUUUUUCUAUAUGUAAAUGGGAAAACUGAUACAUUUUGAGCAGGUGAGUAUCAUAUUAUUGAAUUCCUUUAGAUAUUCACAAUAGCAGCAGUGUGAAGGGCGUCAUGAGAGAAACUGCAGAAAAAUACAUAUUAGGGGACCAUAGCCAUAUUCAAGAUGAGAAGUGAGAAGGUUCUAGAUGAGGACUGAAAACAAGGGAGUGUUAGAAUAUACACUUUACAAGAUUUAGGGAUGAUUAGAUAUCAGUUGAAGGAAAGAUACAAGUUAGGGUGACUUGUGGCAUUUUGAUUUGAAGAGCUUAGUGGAUUUCUAAAAUGAGGAAUGCAGGAGGAAAGGGAGAUUCAUGGAAGGUGAUGAAGUCAGUUUUGCACAUAUUGUGAAGUCUAUGAGACACAUCUCAGUGGUAGAGACUUGAGACACAAGUCUUAAGCUCAGGAGAGAGAGGCCUGAGAUGUGCAAAAAUAUUUGUUUGUCAGAUUCGAGGGUCAGCAGCAUCGGUGACUGUUGAAACCCAGAGAGUAAGGAGCUUGCCCACACUUUCUGGAGGGAAAGGUCCCCAUAGCAGAGCCCUGGAGGACAUUAACACUUGAGCCAUCCUUAGAAGAAGAGAAAUUAGAAAAGGAGAAGUUUUAAAUAGGAAGGAGGACUACCAGGAGAGAGUCAUGACUCAAAAGGGAAGGGAAAAAACAAUUUCAAAAUUAAAUAAGAUGAGGACUGAAUGACAACAUUGUCUUUGCCCUUAAUUGUCAUUGGUAAACUUUGCCAGAACUAAUUAGUAUGGUAGAUUGCAGAGGCUAUGACCAGUAAAAUUUAAUAUGUACCAAUCUUAUCAAUGGAUCAAGUCAUCACUUCUAAAAAUUACACAGAAAUAACUUAUUCAAAACAAUAGUUCAUUUAAAAAUGAAACAGUGUUUGCAUAUGCAACAUUAAAACUGAUUUAGAAAUUAUGUUUUUAGAAGACAAUUCCCUGACGUUAUAAAAAUUCCUAAUAAAUAGUUGCAUUUGGGGAAUAUGAAGCCUCACCUUGGGCCAUCAUAGAUCAAUUGAUCCUGAACUAGCUCUCCUGUUGUACACAACUAGAAAACUAAACAAAAUAUAUUUUAAAAAAUGUUUUCAGACAUUCGACAAUAGGUAGCAUAAAGCAGCAUCUCUAAGGGAAGGAAAACAAGGAAAAGGUGAGCCCUGUGAUGAACCAGGCUUUCUGGCAAUGGCAGAAGCCAAGGCAGAAGGAUGAAUCCUAAUCAGAGAUCUCACUAAUCACAGUUUGGAGGAGCUAAGGUGUUUGGAGUGGCAGGAGAGAAUAAUGGAGAGAAAGGAGUACACACAGCAAGAGCUCUAGAAACCUGCACAGGGCUGUCAGUGAGACUUUGGUAUAAUACAAAGGUGUCCAUGCCUUAGCUACAUUUUACAAGGUUGAGAUAACUACCAGGGAACUAGAAAUUCAACAACUAUUAGAAGUGGCACGGAACUGGACUGCAUUCAAACACUGAAAAUAUCAAGCUGAUUCCCCAGUAAGUAGAUUUCUGACCAAAAACAAACUCAAUACUCUUUUAAGGAAGACAAUACAAUCCAGAAUGUCAACAAUUAAACAUUCGAAAUGUCUAGCAUCUCAUUUAAAAAUUACUAGACAUGCAAAGAAGCAGGGAAAUAUGAUCUAUAGUUAUAAAAAAGUCAACCAAUAGAAAUAAGCCCAGAAAUUACUAAGGUGAUGGAAUCAGUAGGUGAGGUCUUUAACAGCUCUAUAAAUAUAUUCAAGGAUUUAAAGGCAACCAUGAACAAAAUGAGAUGACAAAUUGAACCUAUUAAAAAAAACAGAUGGAAUUUCUAAUAUUGAAAAAUGUAAUAAGUGAAAUUAAAAUUCACUGGAUGAGCUUAAAAGCAGAAUAAAUGCUACAGAAGAAAAGAUUACUGAACUUAAAAGCAGAACAAUAUGUAGACUCCAAAAAGAAACACUCUGAGAAAACAGAUUUAAAACAAUAACUUUGAUACUUUAGAUGAAUGAACAGAUUCCUUGAAAAAUAUAAACUACCAAUGCUGACAUAAGAGAAAAUCCAAAUCACUCUCUACCUAUUAAAUAAAUUGAAUCUUCAAUUUAAAAUCUUCUCACAAAAAAAGCGAAGACAAGAAAUCCAGUUAUGAAUGGCUUCACAAACUUUUAUCAAAUGUUUAAAGAAGAAAUGAUCCCAGCUGUCCAUACAUUCUUUAAGAAAAUAGAAGAAUAGGUAACACGUCUCAACAAUUUCAUUACAAAAUAGUAAGACUCAUUUCAGGAGUUCCCAUCGUGGCUCAGUGGAAACAAAUCUGAUUAGCAUUCAUGAGGACGCACGGUCAAUCCCUGGCCUGGCUCAGUGGGUUAAGGAUCUGGUGUUGCCGUGAGCUUUGGUGUAGAUCACAGAUGUAGCUCAUAUCUGGAGUUGCUGUGGCUGUGGUGUAGGCCAGCAGCUGUAGCUCUGAUUUGACCACUAGCCUGGGAACUUCCAUGAUGCUGGAGGUGUGGCCCUAAAAAUACAAAAACAAACAAACAAACAAAAAAACAACAAAAAAACAAAACCCGACUCAUUUCAACACAGACUUAGUUCUUAGAAAGACGAGAUCUUGUCUGGAUAAUAAUAAUCACAAAUAGAGCCACAGAGAACCUGGGAGUUACACAUAUAUUUAAAGGUUUUCAGUAGGAGGAGCAAGGGCCAUUCUGAUUUAGGGAAAUAAAAUAGUGAUUUGAAACAAGGAAGCAUAUGUACAUGGAACAGUUAUUGCAACUGGAUGAUAUCAGAUAUCAUCGAUAUCAUUAGGUUCAUUUCAGAGACUUUUAGGGCUGGGCUUACCACAUAGAUGAUGUCAUA